UAAGCAUAUCAAUAAGCGGAGGAAAAGAAACCAACAGGGAUUGCCCUAGUAACGGCGAGUGAAGCGGCAACAGCUCAAAUUUGAAAUCUGGCCUCGGCCCGAGUUGUAAUUUGCAGAGGAUGCUUCUGGCGCGGUGCCUUCCGAGUUCCCUGGAACGGGACGCCACAGAGGGUGAGAGCCCCGUAUGGUCGGACACCAAGCCUGUGUGAAGCUCCUUCGACGAGUCGAGUAGUUUGGGAAUGCUGCUCUAAAUGGGAGGUAAAUCUCUUCUAAAGCUAAAUACCGGCCAGAGACCGAUAGCGCACAAGUAGAGUGAUCGAAAGAUGAAAAGCACCUUGAAAAGGGGGUUAAAUAGUACGUGAAAUUGUUGAAAGGGAAGCACUUGUGACCAGACUUGGGCCGGGCGGCUCAUCAGGGGUUCUCCCCUGUGCACUCCGCCCGGCACAGGCCAGCAUCGGUCUUCGCGGGGGGACAAGACCGCCGGGAACGUAGCACCCUCCGGGGUGUGUUAUAGCCCGGCGGACGAUACCCCCGCGGGGACCGAGGUCCGCGCUCCGCAAGGAUGCUGGCGUAAUGGUCACCAGUGACCCGUCUUGAAACACGGACCAAGGAGUCGUCCAUUAGAGCGAGCGUUUGGGUGUAAAACCCGCACGCGUAAUGAAAGUGAACGCAGGUGAGAGCUUCGGCGCAUCAUCGACCGAUCCUGAUGUUCUCGGAAGGAUUUGAGUAAGAGUUUUAACGGACGGACCCGAAAGACAGUGAACUAUGCUUGUAUAGGGUGAAGCCAGAGGAAACUCUGGUGGAGGCUCGCAGCGGUUCUGACGUGCAAAUCGAUCGUCAAAUAUGAGCAUGGGGGCGAAAGACUAAUCGAACUGUCUAGUAGCUGGUUACC
rnacentral:rRNA from 1 species